rnacentral:lncRNA from 1 species
CUUCACUCAUUCCUACAGAAGAUCUCAUUCAACAACUCUGUUGGUGAAGAAAUUACAUUAAAUGAACGUGGAGAAUUAGCAGCUGGUUUUGAUAUUACAAAUUUGAUCACUUUCCCAAAUAGAUCCUACAUCAGGGUCAAAGUGGGAAGGCUGGAUCCUCAGGCCACUCCAGGGAAAGAGCUCGCCAUUAAUGAUGGGCAGAUUGAAUGGCACAGGGACUUGACUCAGGUAAGGAAAUAACUGCACAGUCUGUCAAAUUCAUGGCUAUCCCAUAAAAUGGAAUGCAAUGAAAACAAGGAGGCAUUUUUGUCACUUAGCACUGAUUAAAUGUGAAGUUUGCUGGGAGAGAAAAGUAGUCUUGAAGAAGAGGAAAUUCCUAUCUAGAUGGAUACUAUUUUAAUGGAGAGAAUCUCUAUUUGAACAAAUGGCUUAACUUGUGGGAACAUGCUUGCAGGUUAGUUUAAAAGAGCCUACUUGUUGCCCAGCUGAGGUUUAUUGCACUUUGCUUUGAAUUAGAUAUUAUAUUGAAUAAUAUAGGGAUUUUGUCUUUCUAUUUAUUGUAUAUUGGUAAGCCAACAAGCAGUAAGCAAUAUACUUUAAGGAAUACUGUAAGGUCUAACACUAAACAAACAUAUGAGCCACAAUACGAAAAAGAGCAACAUGCUCAGAAGACAUCUCACAUUGAGAAGGACCAAUGGCUAUCAGAUACUGUUGUCAGACAUUCUUUUAUGUGAAGUCCCAGAGGGAGAUCUCCAGUUUGUGGAAUAUGAUAGAAUCCUAUGAUUGUUGCAGCAUUGCCUGGGCUUAAAAUGAACAUUAUAAUAUCCUGGAUUUUGUAUGAUGCUAGGCAUAGCUGCACCUAGUGCAUAAACCUAAGCUGGGCAUAAAGAGCCAACCACAAAAGCCACUUGAGACCCUAGUGAUGAGUUGGAAUCUCAAAGUAGUUCCAACCUAUAAACUUCUUCCUUCAGAUUUAGUGCCAUCCCUCUCAGAAGAGAUCCUUCACAUAAUUCUGAGACACAGAAAACACUCACCCAAAGAACACUGGACUUAUAAGGAUUCAGCCACCAUCCUGUCCAGCACAACCUUCAGACAGCAGUUCAACACCUUCACUGGUUCUCCUAAUUCCUACGGAAAGCCGAGACAGAGAUGCAGGUCAUCAGUAUACUUGUGACACUGUCCUCCAGAUUCCUAGAAGAUAGCCGCUAUUCCAUAUAAAUGUUGAAUCAUAAAGAUGACUGAACCUGAAACCUUGUGGGCCAGCACAGCCCCAAAGACAUGCAACUAAGCAAUACCCUCCUAGUAUUACUUACUAGUAACAACACUGCAGGUAGGAGCAGAAUCAUUAUACUACAGUACCUCCAAUUCCCACAUCCUUUAGUUGCAUCAUAAGGACACCAAGUGACAUUCGUGAAGGAAACAGCUGUGGUUCCUACAACUGGCAUAGUCAAUUUAUUGAAUUCUAAUAAAGUUGUAUGUAUAGCUAUGCCAAAUAUGUAUGCUCAAAUUAUAUUGGGCUCGUAUGAUGCUUAACAACAGCAUUUUAUCCCAUUCUAUGCGUCACCUGUGCACAUACGGAUCAUAUGUUUCAUGUUAUCGGCUGCUCCUUUUGCUGAUAGACCCCCUGGUGUUAGAUUAAGUCCCAUAAAAUAUUUUAUUAAAAAAUAAAUUAUUCUUAUAUUUUUGGAUAGGUGCCACCCCUGUCAGUAUGUAAUGACAACUGCCGUCCUGGUUACAGGAAGAAAAAGAAGGAGGGAAGUAAAUUUUGUUGCUAUGAUUGUGAUCCGUGUCCCAGCGGGACAUACUCAAGUGAAAAGGGUGAGAAAUGUCAUAUUAAGACCAAACUACACCAUUUAUUUAGCCAACUCUUAAGUCCUUAAAUUUUUGUUGUCACUAAAAGCAUGGAGGUGAAAGGAUUAAAAUUGUGGUGUCUGUAUUGUCCUCAUUGUUUGCAAUAUAAUCUUUAAAACACCCUGAAGAAAAUAUUUUUAGAAAGGGAGGUAACCUCUCUCAGUUCAGAAGAUUUUAGCUGUGAUAAUGCUCUCAUUUCACUAUAACAGCUUGUGAUUCUAAGAAAGAGGAGGAGGACCACUAACACAUAGAGAUGUCUUCAUGUAAGAAAUCUCCUGAUUUGACAAUUUAGAUUUAUUUCGAUAUCCUCGAGGCAAAUGUCUUUGGACUUAGAAAUCUUUUGAAAGAACAUUAGCUAGGUGAACUCUGAUGACAAAAAUCUUAAGAAUUUUCUUCAUAGUUUCAAAUUCUCCUAAUCGUUUCUUUUCAGACAUGGCAACAUGUAUCAGUUGCCCAAAUUUAUUUCUGAUAUAUCUCAGACAAAAGUCUUUGGGCUAGAAAUUUUGAAAGAACAUUAGCUAGGUGAACUCCUGAUGACAAAAAUUCUUAAGAAUUUUCUUCAUAGUUUCAAAUUCUCCUAAACAUUUGUCUUUUCAGACAUGGAAACAUGUAUCAGUUGCCCAGCAAAUAAGUAUCCAAACAAAGACCAGGAUAAUUGCAUUCUUAAAAUACCAAACUUUCUGGGCUUUGAUGAAACUUUGGCCAUCAUUUCAACUUUCUCGGCACUACUGUUGUCUCUGAUCACAGCUCUAGUGUUUGGCAUCUUCAUUAAACACCGGGACACUGCCAUCGUCAAAGCCAACAACAGAAGCCUCACUUACAUUCUCCUUGUGUCCCUCCUCUUGUGUUUCCUCUGCUCCUUGAUGUUCAUUGGAACACCUAAGGAGGCAACCUGCCCACUCCGACAAACAGGUUUUGGCAUCGUCUUCUCUGUGGCCCUCUCCAGUAUCUUGGCCAAAACCAUAUCAGUGGUUUUGGCAUUCAUGGCUAACAAGCCAGGAUCCACAAUCAGGAAGUGGAUAGGCAAAAAACUGGCUUAUUCCAUUGUCCUCUCCUGCUCUAAAAUUCAAGUAGGGCUUUGUGGUCUUUGGCUGACAACUUUUCCCCCUUUCCCAGAUUUGGACAUGCAAUCAAUGAGUGAAGAAAUUAUAUUCUUAUGUAAUGAAGGGUCAGUCCUCAUGUUCUAUUGUGUUUUGGGCUACAUGGGCUUCCUUGCCAUUGUCAGCUUCACUGUGGCCUUCUUAGCCCGGAAGUUGCCAGACAGCUUCAAUGAAGCCAAGUUCAUCACCUUCAGCAUGCUGGUCUUUUGCAGUGUUUGGAUCUCCUUCAUUCCAACCUACCUGAGCAGCAGAGGAAAAUACAUGGUGGCUGUGGAGAUUUUCUCCAUCUUGACUUCUAGUGCUGGAUUACUGGCUUGCAUCUUUUUCCCCAAAUGCUACAUUAUUCUUGUGAGGCCUGACCUGAACACCAGAGAACAUCUAAUACAAAGAAAGAUCUAAAUAAUAUUAGAAUUUGAG